CCUACGGGUGGCAGCAGUGGGGAAUAUUGGGCAAUGGGCGCAAGCCUGACCCAGCAACGCCGCGUGAAGGAAGAAGGCUUUCGGGUUGUAAACUUCUUUUAAGAGGGAAGUGCAGAAGACGGUACCUCUUGAAUAAGCCACGGCUAACUACGUGCCAGCAGCCGCGGUAAUACGUAGGUGGCAAGCGUUGUCCGGAUUUACUGGGUGUAAAGGGCGUGCAGCCGGGAAGACAAGUCAGAUGUGAAAUCCCGCGGCUCAACCGCGGAACUGCAUUUGAAACUGUUUUUCUUGAGUACCGGAGAGGUCAUCGGAAUUCGUUGUGUAGCGGUGAAAUGCUUAGAUAUGACGAAGAACCCCGAUUGCGAAGGCAGCUUGCUGCAGCGGAACUGACGCUGAUGCUCGAAAGCGCGGGUAUCGAACAGGAUUAGAUACCCGAGUAGUC
rnacentral:rRNA from 1 species